GAUGAACGCUGGCGGCGUGCCUAAUACAUGCAAGUCGAGCGAACGGACGAGAAGCUUGCUUCUCUGAUGUUAGCGGCGGACGGGUGAGUAACACGUGGAUAACCUACCUAUAAGACUGGGAUAACUUCGGGAAACCGUAGCUAAUACCGGAUAAUAUUUUGAACCGCAUGGUUCAAAAGUGAAAGACGGUCUUGCUGUCACUUAUAGGUGGAUCCGCGCUGCAUUAGCUAGUUGGUAAGGUAACGGCUUACCAAGGCAACGAUGCAUAGCCGACCUGAGAGGGUGAUCGGCCACACUGGAACUGAGACACGGUCCAGACUCCUACGGGAGGCAGCAGUAGGGAAUCCUCCGCAAUGGGCGAAAGCCUGACGGAGCAACGCCGCGUGAGUGAUGAAGGUCUUCGGAUCGUAAAACUCUGUUAUUAGGGAAGAACAUAUGUGUAAGUAACUGUGCACAUCUUGACGGUACCUAAUCAGGAAGCCACGGCUAACUACGUG
rnacentral:rRNA from 1 species